AGCGAACGUUAGCGGCGGGCCUAACACAUGCAAGUCGAGCGAGAAAGCGGCUUCGGCCGUUAGUAAAGCGGCGGACGGGUGAGUAACACGUGGAUAAUCUGCCCUUCAGCGGGGGAUACUGUCCGAAAGGAUAGCUAAUACCGCGUACGUCGGCGAGGACCUCGGUUCUUGUCGGGAAAGCAGCCCUCUUCAUGAAAGGUUGCACUGAAGGAUGAGUCCGCGUCCCAUCAGCUAGUUGGUGAGGUAAUGGCUCACCAAGGCUUAGACGGGUAGCUGGUCUGAGAGGAUGAUCAGCCACACUGGAACUGAGACACGGUCCAGACUCCUACGGGAGGCAGCAGUGGGGAAUAUUGGGCAAUGGGCGCAAGCCUGACCCAGCCACGCCGCGUGAGUGAUGAAGGCCUUCGGGUCGUAAAGCUCUGUGGGGAGCGACGAAAAAACGCUGGCUAACAUCCAGCGGACUGACGGUAGCUCCUUAGCAAGCACCGGCUAACUCUGUGCCAGCCGCCGCCAGUAAGAC
rnacentral:rRNA from 1 species